rnacentral:rRNA from 1 species
CCUACGUGAGGCAGCAGUGGGGGAUAUUGCACAAUGGGGGAAACCCUGAUGCAGCGACGCCGCCUGAGGGAAGACGGUUUUCGGAUUGUAAACCUCUGUCUUUGGGGACGAAUUGAGACGGUACCCAAGGAGGAAGCUCCGGCUAACUACGUGCCAGCAGCCGCGGUAAUACGGAGGAUGCGAGCGUUAUCCGGAUUUAUUGGGUUUAAAGGGUGCGUAGGCGGGCUGUUAAGUCAGCGGUAAAAGCCCGGGGCUCAACCCCGGCGAGCCGUUGAAACUGGCUGUCUUGAGAUGUCGAGAGGUAUGCGGAAUGCGCAGUGUAGCGGUGAAAUGCUUAGAUAUUGCGCAGAACUCCGAUUGCGAAGGCAGCAUACCGGCGGCGAUCUGACGCUGAGGCACGAAAGCGUGGGUAUCGAACAGGAUUAGAUACCCUUGUAGUC